GUCCAACUGAUGAGUCCAAAAAAGGACGAAACACGGUGUCUUGAAC
rnacentral:hammerhead_ribozyme from 2 species